AAAGCUAUUUAGGUAGCGCCUCGUGAAUUCAUCUCCGGGGGUAGAGCACUGUUUCGGCAAGGGGGUCAUCCCGACUUACCAACCCGAUGCAAACUGCGAAUACCGGAGAAUGUUAUCACGGGAGACACACGGCGGGUGCUAACGUCCGUCGUGAAGAGGGAAACAACCCAGACCGCCAGCUAAGGUCCCAAAGUCAUGGUUAAGUGGGAAACGAUGUGGGAAGGCCCAGACAGCCAGGAUGUUGGCUUAGAAGCAGCCAUCAUUUAAAGAAAGCGUAAUAGCUCACUGGUCGAGUCGGCCUGCGCGGAAGAUGUAACGGGGCUAAACCAUGCACCGAAGCUGCGGCAGCGACGCUGAUGCGUUGUUGGGUAGGGGAGCGUUCUGUAAGCCUGUGAAGGUGUGCUGUGAGGCAUGCUGGAGGUAUCAGAAGUGCGAAUGCUGACAUAAGUAACGAUAAAGCGGGUGAAAAGCCCGCUCGCCGGAAGACCAAGGGUUCCUGUCCAACGUUAAUCGGGGCAGGGUGAGUCGACCCCUAAGGCGAGGCCGAAAGGCGUAGUCGAUGGGAAACAGGUUAAUAUUCCUGUACUUGGUGUUACUGCGAAGGGGGGACGGAGAAGGCUAUGUUGGCCGGGCGACGGUUGUCCCGGUUUAAGCGUGUAGGCUGGUUUUCCAGGCAAAUCCGGAAAACUAAGGCUGAGGCGUGAUGACGAGGCACUACGGUGCUGAAGCAACAAAUGCCCUGCUUCCAGGAAAAGCCUCUAAGCAUCAGGUAACAUCAAAUCGUACCCCAAACCGACACAGGUGGUCAGGUAGAGAAUACCAAGGCGCUUGAGAGAACUCGGGUGAAGGAACUAGGCAAAAUGGUGCCGUAACUUCGGGAGAAGGCACGCUGAUAUGUAGGUGAAGUCCCUCGCGGAUGGAGCUGAAAUCAGUCGAAGAUACCAGCUGGCUGCAACUGUUUAUUAAAAACACAGCACUGUGCAAACACGAAAGUGGACGUAUACGGUGUGACGCCUGCCCGGUGCCGGAAGGUUAAUUGAUGGGGUCAGCGCAAGCGAAGCUCUUGAUCGAAGCCCCGGUAAACGGCGGCCGUAACUAUAACGGUCCUAAGGUAGCGAAAUUCCUUGUCGGGUAAGUUCCGACCUGCACGAAUGGCGUAAUGAUGGCCAGGCUGUCUCCACCCGAGACUCAGUGAAAUUGAACUCGCUGUGAAGAUGCAGUGUACCCGCGGCAAGACGGAAAGACCCCGUGAACCUUUACUAUAGCUUGACACUGAACAUUGAGCCUUGAUGUGUAGGAUAGGUGGGAGGCUUUGAAGUGUGGACGCCAGUCUGCAUGGAGCCGACCUUGAAAUACCACCCUUUAAUGUUUGAUGUUCUAACGUUGACCCGUAAUCCGGGUUGCGGACAGUGUCUGGUGGGUAGUUUGACUGGGGCGGUCUCCUCCUAAAGAGUAACGGAGGAGCACGAAGGUUGGCUAAUCCUGGUCGGACAUCAGGAGGUUAGUGCAAUGGCAUAAGCCAGCUUGACUGCGAGCGUGACGGCGCGAGCAGGUGCGAAAGCAGGUCAUAGUGAUCCGGUGGUUCUGAAUGGAAGGGCCAUCGCUCAACGGAUAAAAGGUACUCCGGGGAUAACAGGCUGAUACCGCCCAAGAGUUCAUAUCGACGGCGGUGUUUGGCACCUCGAUGUCGGCUCAUCACAUCCUGGGGCUGAAGUAGGUCCCAAGGGUAUGGCUGUUCGCCAUUUAAAGUGGUACGCGAGCUGGGUUUAGAACGUCGUGAGACAGUUCGGUCCCUAUCUGCCGUGGGCGCUGGAGAACUGAGGGGGGCUGCUCCUAGUACGAGAGGACCGGAGUGGACGCAUCACUGGUGUUCGGGUUGUCAUGCCAAUGGCACUGCCCGGUAGCUAAAUGCGGAAGAGAUAAGUGCUGAAAGCAUCUAAGCACGAAACUUGCCCCGAGAUGAGUUCUCCCUGACUCCUUGAGAGUCCUGAAGGAACGUUGAAG
rnacentral:rRNA from 1 species